rnacentral:rRNA from 1 species
UACGUAGGGUGCAAGCGUUAAUCGGAAUUACUGGGCGUAAAGCGUGCGCAGGCGGUUAUGCAAGACAGAGGUGAAAUCCCCGGGCUCAACCUGGGAACUGCCUUUGUGACUGCAUGGCUAGAGUACGGUAGAGGGGGAUGGAAUUCCGCGUGUAGCAGUGAAAUGCGUAGAUAUGCGGAGGAACACCGAUGGCGAAGGCAAUCCCCUGGACCUGUACUGACGCUGAGGCGCGAAAGCGUGGGGAGCAAACAGG